rnacentral:lncRNA from 1 species
AACCGUUGGGGAGGACUCCUCGAUGAUAGCUCUUUCACAGUCGCAAAGAUUCUCUCUCGAUCUGAGCUAACCAGGGAUCUUCUCGAUUCCUCCUCUUGUCGGAGAUUUUCUUACCUUUCGCCUGCCUGCGGAGUUUUCGAGUUUCAUUCGCUUGAACAUACUUUCGAGCUUAGGUUAGCAGGUCUGCAUAAUCCUUUAGAAACUUCUUGUUAAAAGAAAAGAUAAGGCACUCAUUUCAUAGCCCUCAUUUGAGCCCUGACAUUACCACCAACUGGUUGAGGCUUUGCACCUUGAGCGUAGCAGUGUUAAAAUGUGCAAUGUAGUCACGCAGUGACUCAUCCUCUUCUUGU